GACAACCAUCUGUGCAACCGUCUGUUGUCUGAUUAAACGAUGGGAGUGGAUGCUAAUUAACGAAAAAAAAUGGCAUAAAGUGUGUGUGUCAGGUCAACAGAGGAACCUAUUCACUGUUGUGCAGUAUGUUAUGAGAUGGGUAAAACAUGUUUUGGGGUUAGGUUAAACUUCGUUAAACUGAUGGGCAUGACCACAUUCAUUUAAGACAGCUGUAAGAGACAGUGAAGGGGACACAAACUAAAACAAGGCACAAUGCUCAAAAAAUAGCACCAGGACCUUCUACCUAUGCUGGGGUGACUCAGCCUCCAAGGUCUAUUGGGGAGAAAACACUGAACCAAGGAAAAGAAACAAGAUCAUGGACAACCUGCUGCAAGAAAUGCAUAAUGACUUUGGAUGCAGGACAGCCAGGCACCUUAAGUUCCACACACAACAGCUGGAGCAGGUGAGGGAGACAAAACUGGUGGUGGACUACGUUGAGCGUGGCCGAGGAUGAGGGAGCAUGACCGACAGCAAUAGAGGAUGAACCCCCUCCCCUCGGAUUUGUUUGGUUCAAAAUGCAACAUCUUGAAAAGGCC